CCUCCCCACGUUUAAACACGCUCAGUUGGCGGGCCGGGGUGUAGAGGAAUGGCACUAUCAUGCAUUCCUCAUAGAAAUCCAAAAUGGUCUGAACCUCGUGGAAGAGAAUUGAGCAGUAUCUAUUUAACUUAUGUAUGGAUUCGCCUUUUGACCCCGUCAUCCCACUUCCAAGAGUGUAAAAACGAAGAUCUGCUGAUGAAAAUAAGUAACGCACACGGCACAGAGGUAGUCAGCGGGAGGAGAACGAGAAAAGAAAGGAUGAAGACCAGCAGCAGGACGAGAGGAGUGGAGAAGACAUGAGAGAGUUCAAGAAGGCUUAGGAGAGAAUCUUUGAUGGGGAGCUAAGAGCAAGGUUCAUCAAGUGGAAGUGGACCAUCAUAAAGGUCUUCAUCCUCAUCAUCCUCACGUUGAGCAGGCUGAGGAGGAGGAAGAGGUCUUGUUGUUUCAGGGGUGGCAGAGGCAGA